rnacentral:rRNA from 1 species
AGUGAACGCUGGCGGUAGGCCUAACACAUGCAAGUCGAACGGCAGCACAGUAAGAGCUUGCUCUUACGGGUGGCGAGUGGCGGACGGGUGAGGAAUACAUCGGAAUCUACUUUUUCGUGGGGGAUAACGUAGGGAAACUUACGCUAAUACCGCAUACGACCUACGGGUGAAAGCAGGGGAUCUUCGGACCUUGCGCGAUUGAAUGAGCCGAUGUCGGAUUAGCUAGUUGGCGGGGUAAAGGCCCACCAAGGCGACGAUCCGUAGCUGGUCUGAGAGGAUGGUCAGCGACACUGGAACUGAGACACGGUCCAGACUCCUACGGGAGGCAGCAGUGGGGAAUAUUGGACAAUGGGCGCAAGCCUGAUCCAGCCAUACCGCGUGGGUGAAGAAGGCCUUCGGGUUGUAAAGCCCUUUUGUUGGGAAAGAAAAGCAGCAUGUUAAUACCCCGCUGUUCUGACGGUACCCAAAGAAUAGGCACCGGCUAACUUCGUG